AACAAGGCGUACCUGCGGACCUGCGGAGGGAUCAUUACCGAGUUUACAACUCCCAAACCCCUGUGAACAUACCUAUACGUUGCCUCGGCGGAUCAGCCCGCGCCCUGUAAAAAGGGACGGCCCGCCCGAGGACCCUAAACUCUGUUUUUAGUGGAACUUCUGAGUAAAACAAACAAAUAAAUCAAAACUUUUAGCAAUGGAUCU
rnacentral:misc_RNA from 1 species